CAAUGGUAUUUCAAUACAUCAUACUGGUCACAGCUGGUGGAUGACUUCAAUGUCAAAGCAGGAGAAUAUUUUGUACUUUGUCUAAUUUAAAUGUACCAACUGAGUAAUGGUGCUGCUCACAUUUGGCUCUGUUUAGAGCUGCCGCGUCUAGUGGACGUCGACGUUAAUAAUUUGUCGACACCAAUAUUUUUUAAUCAACGCUUCAUUAUUUUUUUUUAUUAACCAUUAAGUACUUGUUUUUUUUGUAGAUGAUUACAAUGAGGCGAGGCUAAAGCUUCCAGAAGCUGUUGAACACACAGACCUUGGGACAGCUGGGGAAUUAAACCCAAAAGGAGAAGAAUAACAUUCACUUCCCUGGUGAAGAUGAAGCUGAGGUGCCACGUGUCUUUUCAAAACCUGAACCACGGAAGAAACUAGCUGAACUGCCUAGUGCUCCAAACAUUCUUUAUUCAUUGGGCCUUGUUCCCAAAGAGAAUAACACUAGAAAGAAAGCUGUGUUACCAACAGGAAAACCACGAGUGCACCAUACUCCUAAGAUGGACCAGAGAGACCGUGCCUCCCCCAACCUUAGCCA